UACGUAGGGGGCUAGCGUUGUCCGGAUUUAUUGGGCGUAAAGAGCGUGUAGGCGGCCAGGUAGGUCUGGUGUGAAAACUCGAGGCUUAACCUCGAGAUGUCAUCGGAAACCAUCUGGCUAGAGUCCGGAAGAGGAGAGUGGAAUUCCUGGUGUAGCGGUGAAAUGCGCAGAUAUCAGGAAGAACACCAAUGGCGAAAGCAGCUCUCUGGGACGGUACUGACGCUGAGACGCGAAAGCGUGGGGAGCGGACAGG
rnacentral:rRNA from 1 species